UCUUCGUUGGUGAACCAGCGGAGGGAUCAUUACCGAGUUUACAACUCCCAAACCCAAUGUGAACCAUACCAAACUGUUGCCUCGGCGGGGUCACGCCCCGGGUGCGUCGCAGCCCCGGAACCAGGCGCCCGCCGGAGGGACCAACCAAACUCUUUCUGUAGUCCCCUCGCGGACGUUAUUUUUACAGCUCUGAGCAAAAAUUCAAAAUGAAUCAAAACUUUCAACAACGGAUCUCUUGGUUCUGGCAUCGAUGAAGAACACAGC
rnacentral:misc_RNA from 1 species